rnacentral:rRNA from 1 species
UACAGAGGUCUCAAGCGUUGUUCGGAUUCAUUGGGCGUAAAGGGUGCGUAGGUGGCGCUGUAAGUCGGGUGUGAAAUCUCGGAGCUUAACUCCGAAACUGCAUUCGAUACUGCCGUGCUUGAGGACUGGAGAGGAGACUGGAAUUUACGGUGUAGCGGUGAAAUGCGUAGAUAUCGUAAGGAAGACCAGUGGCGAAGGCGGGUCUCUGGACAGUUCCUGACGCUGAGGCACGAAGGUCAGGGGAGCAAACGGGG